UGAGAGGACCGUCAUUCUGGGAAAGA
rnacentral:piRNA from 1 species